rnacentral:misc_RNA from 1 species
UACCCUUCCCAGGAAGCACAAGAACAGCUCCUUCAUCACCAACGCCUUUGAUGGUAUAAUAUGCAAAAACAGGUUUAUGUCCUUUCAAUUCCAGCCCAUAAAUAUCUGCUUGUUCCAAAUUCACAAAUGUCAAAUUUGUUCCAUAUACCAUAUACUCUCCCUUGCCACUCUCAACUGUUUCUUCAAUCAGACUAUUUUCCUCUUCUUGUUUCUCUGCAAUCAAUGCUGCCAAUUCUUGUAAAUCGCCUUUCGCCGGGUUGAUAUCUGUUCUAGCAAUGCUAAACACUAUCUUGUUGCUUGGAACUUCAUUCUCAUCCGUUUCACUAGUGCGAGAAAUUCUUGUACAAAAUGUCACAAUUCUUGGUCCUGAAUCUCCCCUGACUUUGGAUAAAGAUUUCCAUAUCAUUGCAGAGAUGACUUCGAAGUGCGAGAUCUUUACCGGCUGGGCUAGA